rnacentral:rRNA from 1 species
UACGUAGGGGGCAAGCGUUGUCCGGAUUUAUUGGGCGUAAAGAGCGUGUAGGCGGCCAGGUAGGUCUGCUGUGAAAACUCGAGGCUUAACCUCGAGCUGUCGGCGGAAACCAUCUGGCUAGAGUCCGGAAGAGGAGAAUGGAAUUCCCGGUGUAGCGGUGAAAUGCGUAGAGAUGUGGAGGAACACCGAUGGCGAAGGCAGCCCCCUGGGUCAAGAUUGACGCUCAUGCACGAAAGCGUGGGGAGCAGACAGG